UACAGGGGGGGCGAGCGUUGUUCGGAAUUACUGGGCGUAAAGGGCUCGUAGGCGGCCAACUAAGUCAGACGUGAAAUCCCUCGGCUUAACCGGGGAACUGCAUCUGAUACUGGAUGGCUUGAGUUCGGGAGAGGGAUGCGGAAUUCCAGGUGUAGCGGUGAAAUGCGUAGAUAUCUGGAGGAACACCGGUGGCGAAGGCGGCAUCCUGGACCGACACUGACGCUGAGGAGCGAAAGCCAGGGGAGCAAACGGG
rnacentral:rRNA from 1 species